rnacentral:rRNA from 1 species
GACAGAGGGGGCAAGCGUUGUCCGGACUGACUGGGCGUAAAGCGCGCGCAGGCGGCGCGGGGCGUCGGUGCUGAAAUCGGGCCGCUUAACGGCCCGCGGCGUGCCGAUACGCCCGUGCUGGAGGGUGGGCGAGGGUGGUGGAAUUGCCGGUGUAGUGGUGAAAUGCGUAGAGAUCGGCAGGAACACCCGUGGCGAAAGCGGCCACCUAGCCCGCACCUGACGCUGAUGCGCGACAGCGUGGGGGAGCGAACUGG